AUUGAACGCUGGCGGCAGGCCUAACACAUGCAAGUCGAACGGUAACAGGAAACAGCUUGCUGUUUCGCUGACGAGUGGCGGACGGGUGAGUAAUGUCUGGGAAACUGCCUGAUGGAGGGGGAUAACUACUGGAAACGGUAGCUAAUACCGCAUAACGUCGCAAGACCAAAGAGGGGGACCCUCGGGCCUCUUGCCAUCGGAUGUGCCCAGAUGGGAUUAGCUUGUUGGUGGGGUAACGGCUCACCAAGGCGACGAUCCCUAGCUGGUCUGAGAGGAUGACCAGCCACACUGGAACUGAGACACGGUCCAGACUCCUACGGGAGGCAGCAGUGGGGAAUAUUGCACAAUGGGCGCAAGCCUGAUGCAGCCAUGCCGCGUGCAUGAAGAAGGCCUUCGGGUUGUAAAGUACUUUCAGCGGGGAGGAAGGGAGUAAAGUUAAUACCUUUGCUCAUUGACGUUACCCGCAGAAGAAGCACCGGCUAACUCCGUG
rnacentral:rRNA from 1 species